rnacentral:rRNA from 1 species
UACAGAGGUCCCAAGCGUUGUUCGGAUUCACUGGGCGUAAAGGGUGCGUAGGUGGCGGGGUAAGUUUGAUGUAAAAUCUCCGGGCUUAACCCGGAAACUGCAUUGAAUACUGUUGAGCUGGAGGUUUGGAGGGGGGACUGGAAUUCUUGGUGUAGCAGUGAAAUGCGUAGAUAUCAAGAGGAACACCAGUGGCGAAGGCGAGUCCCUGGACAACACCUGACACUGAGGCACGAAAGCUAGGGGAGCAAACAGG